rnacentral:rRNA from 1 species
GAUGAACGCUGGCGGCGUGCCUAAUACAUGCAAGUCGAGCGAAAAGGCGAUGAGCUUGCUCCGCUGACGUGAGCGGCGCGCGGGAGAAUCACACGUGUAUCACCUCCCUAUAAGUCUGGGAACACUUCGGGAAACGGGCGCAUAUACCGUAUAAGAUAUUGCUCCGCAGGGGGGAAUGGUAAGAGACGGUUUUGCUGUCUGGUCUAGAGGGAUACGGGCCGCAUUAGCUGGUUGGGAAGUUAACGGCUUACCAAGGGAAGUAUGCGUAGCCGACGUGAGAGGGGGAUAGGCGACACUGGAACUGAGACGCGGACCAGACGCCUACGGGAGGCAGCAGUAGGGAAUGGGCCGCAGUGGGCGAAAGCCUGACGGAGCAACGCCGCGUGAGUGAUGAAGGUCUUCGGAUCGUAAAACUCUGUUAUUAGGGAAGAACAAAUUUGUAAGUAGCUAUGCACGUCUUGACGGUACCUAAUCAGAAAGCCACGGCUAACUACGUG